CCUACGGGGGGCUGCAGUGGGGAAUAUUGCACAAUGGGGGAAACCCUGAUGCAGCAACGCCGCGUGAGCGAAGAAUGCCUUCGGGUCGUAAAGCUCUGUCCUAAGGGAAGAAGCAUGACGGUACCUUAGGAGGAAGCCCCGGCUACCUACGUGCCAGCGGCCGCGGUAAUACGUAGGGGGCGAGCGUUAGACGGAAUCACUGGGCGUAAAGGGUGCGUAGGCGGCCGAUUAAGCCAGGGGUGAAAGGCGACGGCUCAAACGGAGUAAGCCCUUGGGACUGAUUGGAUUGAGUGCAGGAGAGGAGGGUGGAAUGCCAAGUGUAGCGGUGAAAUGCGUGGAUAUGAGGAGGAAAACCGGUGGCGAAGGCGACAAUCUGGUGUGUGACUGACGCUGAGGAACGGAAGCGUGGGGUGCUAACAGGAUUAUAGAGCCGUGUAGUG
rnacentral:rRNA from 1 species